CACCAUAAACAUAUAUCAGGAACCCUCAUGUAUGCCCCUCUACUCCCAGAAUCGAGGAUCUCACUCUCCACUGAUCAUCGGCUCUUAUCACCACCCACAGAUGAUAAGAGAUUGAGAUCUCAGCAGAUCGAUAUCGAGAGGUAGAAGUGGAGCUCGAUUGAGCUAGAACAUUAGUUCUCGGUUAACUGUCAAGCAGGCAGAUGGGAAAGUUUAGUGGAGUGCACUCUUUGAUUAGCCUGACCAAUACAGAAUAUAAUUUCAAGACAAAAGUCACGGUGUGUGAAGUGGUACAACUGUGAAUUUUAAGUGGCUCAGAAAAAAGCCACAGAUGUCCACUUUUCUGAACUUGCUGCUCGGUAGAGCGACAAUGGAAUAGAUGAGGAGGUUACAAUGAGAUCGGUCUCUCUAUCAUAACCAACACUUAUGCGCCAGGGCGGGACGGUGUCCUAGCACGAUCAUGGAUCGGUGUGCUAGUGUUGGAGUAGCUGGCACGUCGCCGGUGAAUUUGCUUCUGUCCGGGCAAGCAUGCUGUCCACCAAUCGCCGCGGGAUACACUCGACACUGACGUCCAUGCACACUAACAUAGUAGGG